rnacentral:rRNA from 1 species
GGGUUGUGAGGUUAAGCGACUAAGCGUACACGGUGGAUGCCUAGGCAGUCAGAGGCGAUGAAGGGCGUGCUAAUCUGCGAAAAGCGUCGGUAAGGUGAUAUGAACCGUUAUAACCGACGAUACCCGAAUGGGGAAACCCAGUGCAAUUCGUUGCACUAUUGCAUGGUGAAUACAUAGCCAUGCAAGGCGAACCGGGGGAACUGAAACAUCUAAGUACCCCGAGGAAAAGAAAUCAACCGAGAUUCCCCCAGUAGCGGCGAGCGAACGGGGAGGAGCCCAGAACCUGAAUCAGCGUAUGUGUUAGUGGAAGCGUCUGGAAAGUCGCACGGUACAGGGUGAUAGUCCCGUACACAAAAAUGCAUAUGUUGUGAGUUCGAUGAGUAGGGCGGGACACGUGACAUCCUGUCUGAAUAUGGGGGGACCAUCCUCCAAGGCUAAAUACUCCUGACUGACCGAUAGUGAACCAGUACCGUGAGGGAAAGGCGAAAAGAACCCCGGCGAGGGGAGUGAAACAGAACCUGAAACCGUGUACGUACAAGCAGUGGGAGCACCUUCGUGGUGUGACUGCGUACCUUUUGUAUAAUGGGUCAGCGACUUAUAUUUUGUAGCAAGGUUAACCGAAUAGGGGAGCCGUAGGGAAACCGAGUCUUAACUGGGCGAAUAGUUGCAAGGUAUAGACCCGAAACCCGGUGAUCUAGCCAUGGGCAGGUUGAAGGUUGGGUAACACUAACUGGAGGACCGAACCGACUAAUGUUGAAAAAUUAGCGGAUGACUUGUGGCUGGGGGUGAAAGGCCAAUCAAACCGGGAGAUAGCUGGUUCUCCCCGAAAGCUAUUUAGGUAGCGCCUCGUGAACUCAUCUUCGGGGGUAGAGCACUGUUUCGGCUAGGGGGUCAUCCCGACUUACCAAACCGAUGCAAACUCCGAAUACCGAAGAAUGUUAUCACGGGAGACACACGGCGGGUGCUAACGUCCGUCGUGAAGAGGGAAACAACCCAGACCGCCAGCUAAGGUCCCAAAGUCAUGGUUAAGUGGGAAACGAUGUGGGAAGGCACAGACAGCCAGGAUGUUGGCUUAGAAGCAGCCAUCAUUUAAAGAAAGCGUAAUAGCUCACUGGUCGAGUCGGCCUGCGCGGAAGAUGUAACGGGGCUAAACCAUGCACCGAAGCUGCGGCAGCGAACGUAUCACUUAAAACGCUUAACGUGACGGCAAAGCCGGCAUGUUCAAGCCACACUAAACGUUGAGUUGGCCGAUGUGCUGACAAACGAACAGGCGUUUUAAGGAUACGUUCGUUGGGUAGGGGAGCGUUCUGUAAGCCGUUGAAGGUGGUCUGUGAGGGCUGCUGGAGGUAUCAGAAGUGCGAAUGCUGACAUAAGUAACGAUAAUGCGGGUGAAAAACCCGCACGCCGGAAGACCAAGGGUUCCUGUCCAACGUUAAUCGGGGCAGGGUGAGUCGACCCCUAAGGCGAGGCUGAAAAGCGUAGUCGAUGGGAAACAGGUUAAUAUUCCUGUACUUGGUGUUACUGCGAAGGGGGGACGGAGAAGGCUAGGCUAGCCGGGCGACGGUUGUCCCGGUUUAAGCAUGUAGGCGGAGUGACCAGGUAAAUCCGGUUGCUUAUCAACGCUGAGGUGUGAUGACGAUGCACUACGGUGCAGAAGUAGUUGAUGCCAUGCUUCCAGGAAAAGCCUCUAAGCAUCAGGUAACAUGAAAUCGUACCCCAAACCGACACAGGUGGUCAGGUAGAGAAUACUCAGGCGCUUGAGAGAACUCGGGUGAAGGAACUAGGCAAAAUGGUGCCGUAACUUCGGGAGAAGGCACGCUGGCAUUAGGUAAAGGGACUUGCUCCCGGCGCCGAAGCCAGUCGCAGAUACCAGCUGGCUGCAACUGUUUAAUAAAAACACAGCACUGUGCAAACACGAAAGUGGACGUAUACGGUGUGACGCCUGCCCGGUGCUGGAAGGUUAAUUGAUGGGGUCAGCCGCAAGGCGAAGCUCUUGAUCGAAGCCCCAGUAAACGGCGGCCGUAACUAUAACGGUCCUAAGGUAGCGAAAUUCCUUGUCGGGUAAGUUCCGACCUGCACGAAUGGCGUAAUGAUGGCCAGGCUGUCUCCACCCGAGACUCAGUGAAAUUGAACUCGCUGUGAAGAUGCAGUGUACCCGCGGCAAGACGGAAAGACCCCGUGAACCUUUACUAUAGCUUGACACUGAACAUUGAGCCUUGAUGUGUAGGAUAGGUGGGAGGCAUAGAAGUGUGGACGCCAGUCUGCAUGGAGCCAACCUUGAAAUACCACCCUUUAAUGUUUGAUGUUCUAACUCGGCCCCGUAAUCCGGGGUGAGGACAGUGUCUGGUGGGUAGUUUGACUGGGGCGGUCUCCUCCCAAAGAGUAACGGAGGAGCACGAAGGUUAGCUAAUCACGGUCGGACAUCGUGAGGUUAGUGCAAAGGCAUAAGCUAGCUUGACUGCGAGAGUGACGGCUCGAGCAGGUACGAAAGUAGGUCUUAGUGAUCCGGUGGUUCUGAAUGGAAGGGCCAUCGCUCAACGGAUAAAAGGUACUCCGGGGAUAACAGGCUGAUACCGCCCAAGAGUUCAUAUCGACGGCGGUGUUUGGCACCUCGAUGUCGGCUCAUCACAUCCUGGGGCUGAAGUAGGUCCCAAGGGUAUGGCUGUUCGCCAUUUAAAGUGGUACGCGAGCUGGGUUUAGAACGUCGUGAGACAGUUCGGUCCCUAUCUGCCGUGGGCGUUGGAAGAUUGAGAGGGGCUGCUCCUAGUACGAGAGGACCGGAGUGGACGAAUCACUGGUGUUCGGGUUGUCAUGCCAAUGGCAUUGCCCGGUAGCUAAAUUCGGAAGAGAUAACCGCUGAAAGCAUCUAAGCGGGAAACUUGCCUCGAGAUGAGUCUUCCCUGGGGCUUUAAGCCCCCUGAAGGAACGUUAAAGACGAUGACGUUGAUAGGCUGGGUGUGUAAGUGCAGCGAUGCAUUGAGCUAACCAGUACUAAUGAACCGUGAGGCUUAACCUUACAACACCAAAGGUGUUUUG